AGGGUUCGAUUCUGGCUCAGGAUGAACGCUGGCGGCGUGCCUAAUACAUGCAAGUCGAACGAGGGUGCUUGCACCCUAGUGGCGAACGGGUGAGUAACACGUAGGUAACCUGCCUUUAGCUUGGGAUACCCAGAGGAAACUUUGGCUAAUACCGGAUAACAACAGAUGAGGCAUCUCAACUGUUUGAAAGGCCCCCUUCAAGGGUCACUAAAAGAUGGACCUGCGGCGCAUUAGCUAGUUGGUGAGAUAAUAGCCCACCAAGGCGAGGAUGCGUAGCCGAACUGAGAGGUUGAUCGGCCACAUUGGAACUGAGACACGGUCCAAACUCCUACGGGAGGCAGCAGUAAGGAGUUUUCGGCAAUGGGGGAAACCCUGACCGAGCAACGCCGCGUGAGUGAUGACGGCCCUAUGGGUUGUAAAGCUCUGUUGUAGAGGACGAAUGAUAGCUUCAGGAAAUGGGAGCUAUUUGACGGUACUUUACCAGAAAGCCACGGCUAACUACGUGCCAGCCGCCGC
rnacentral:rRNA from 1 species